AAUAGCUCACUGGUCGAGUCGGCCUGCGCGGAAGAUGUAACGGGGCUAAACCAUGCACCGAAGCUGCGGCAGCGACACUAUGUGUUGUUGGGUAGGGGAGCGUUCUGUAAGCCUGCGAAGGUGUGCUGUGAGGCAUGCUGGAGGUAUCAGAAGUGCGAAUGCUGACAUAAGUAACGAUAAAGCGGGUGAAAAGCCCGCUCGCCGGAAGACCAAGGGUUCCUGUCCAACGUUAAUCGGGGCAGGGUGAGUCGACCCCUAAGGCGAGGCCGAAAGGCGUAGUCGAUGGGAAACAGGUUAAUAUUCCUGUACUUGGUGUUACUGCGAAGGGGGGACGGAGAAGGCUAUGUUAGCCGGGCGACGGUUGUCCCGGUUUAAGCAUGUAGGCUGAUUGUCCAGGCAAAUCCGGAUAAUCAAGGCUGAGGUGUGAUGACGAGGCACUACGGUGCUGAAGUAACAAAUGCCCUGCUUCCAGGAAAAGCCUCUAAGCAUCAGGUAACAUCAAAUCGUACCCCAAACCGACACAGGUGGUCAGGUAGAGAAUACCAAGGCGCUUGAGAGAACUCGGGUGAAGGAACUAGGCAAAAUGGUGCCGUAACUUCGGGAGAAGGCACGCUGGUGUGUAGGUGAAGUCCCUGCGGAUGGAGCUGAGACCAGUCGAAGAUACCAGCUGGCUGCAACUGUUUAUUAAAAACACAGCACUGUGCAAACACGAAAGUGGACGUAUACGGUGUGACGCCUGCCCGGUGCCGGAAGGUUAAUUGAUGGGGUUAUCCGUAAGGAGAAGCUCUUGAUCGAAGCCCCGGUAAACGGCGGCCGUAACUAUAACGGUCCUAAGGUAGCGAAAUUCCUUGUCGGGUAAGUUCCGACCUGCACGAAUGGCGUAAUGAUGGCCAGGCUGUCUCCACCCGAGACUCAGUGAAAUUGAACUCGCUGUGAAGAUGCAGUGUACCCGCGGCAAGACGGAAAGACCCCGUGAACCUUUACUAUAGCUUGACACUGAACAUUGAGCCUUGAUGUGUAGGAUAGGUGGGAGGCUUUGAAGCGUGGACGCCAGUCUGCGUGGAGCCAACCUUGAAAUACCACCCUUUAAUGUUUGAUGUUCUAACGUUGGCCCCUGACCGGGGUUGCGGACAGUGUCUGGUGGGUAGUUUGACUGGGGCGGUCUCCUCCCAAAGCGUAACGGAGGAGCACGAAGGUUAGCUAAUCCUGGUCGGACAUCAGGAGGUUAGUGCAAUGGCAUAAGCUAGCUUGACUGCGAGCGUGACGGCGCGAGCAGGUGCGAAAGCAGGUCAUAGUGAUCCGGUGGUUCUGAAUGGAAGGGCCAUCGCUCAACGGAUAAAAGGUACUCCGGGGAUAACAGGCUGAUACCGCCCAAGAGUUCAUAUCGACGGCGGUGUUUGGCACCUCGAUGUCGGCUCAUCACAUCCUGGGGCUGAAGUAGGUCCCAAGGGUAUGGCUGUUCGCCAUUUAAAGUGGUACGCGAGCUGGGUUUAGAACGUCGUGAGACAGUUCGGUCCCUAUCUGCCGUGGGCGCUGGAGAAUUGAGGGGGGCUGCUCCUAGUACGAGAGGACCGGAGUGGACGCAUCACUGGUGUUCGGGUUGUCAUGCCAAUGGCACUGCCCGGUAGCUAAAUGCGGAAGAGAUAAGUGCUGAAAGCAUCUAAGCACGAAACUUGCCCCGAGAUGAGUUCUCCCUGAGACUUUAAGUCUCCUGAAGGAACGUUAAAGACGAUGACGUUGAUAGGCCGGGUGUGUAAGCGCAGCGAUGCGUUGAGCUAACCGGUACUAAUGAACCGUGAGGCUUAACCUU
rnacentral:rRNA from 1 species